UUCUUAAAAGCAAUAUAGUCUAUGAAUAACUUUUUUAAUGCAUAAAAACCAUCUUCAAGGAAAUAAAUGGAGAACUUAUAAUGGAGAACUCUUACCAACUGGUAGAUAGUUUGCUAAGGUCACAUGGCUAGCAAGCAGCAGAGGCAGGAUUUACACUCAAAAGCUUCAGGCCCACCCCCACUGCACCCAGGCAGGAAGUGAAACCACCCCAUGUUACUUUAUUUUCUACUGACACAGUUUUCUUCCCCACUAAUCUCUGAGCAGCAUGACUGCAGAUACUUCCUUUCGUCUUUACGUCCCCAGACCUUAGCACGGCGCCUCUGUGGCACCUGGCAGGAGCUCGAUAUGUGUGUGUUGAGUAAAGGAGUGAGGAGAACCCAGGGAGAGAGUAUUAUAAUAUUCUGGAGUGCACGAGAAGAGAGCAUUUCAAGCAGGGAGGGUCCCAGUGUCAAAUGCCACAAGCUGGUUGUAUUAGUCAGGUGUCUCUUUAGAAAUAGUGCCCUGAAUAUAUAUUUAUUUCCUUUUUUUUUUCUUUUAAUAGGAAUCGGCUCAUGUAAUUAAGGAAGCUGAGAGGUCCUGCAAUCUGAUGUCUGCAAGCUGGAGAACCAGCAAAGCCUUUGUCUGAAGACCUAAGAACCAGAGGAGCUGAUGGUAUAAGACCCGCUCUGAGUCCAAAGGCCCAGGAUCGGAGGGCCAUUGACAGAAGUGUCCCAGUCCACGGCUGAAGGCCCGAGAACCAACAGCAAGAGGAGAUAGAUGUCCUAGCACCAUCCUAGCCCGCAGCUUCAAGGCGAGAGGACCAGCCACAUGUCACACUGAGCUCCGGGAUCAGUGAGAAUGGACACUGCAUCGUCAUCCUGACGUGUGGCAGAGAGCAGAGGAGGCACUGUGACCUGCAGCUGGACACUGCUGGGACCCCAGACAGUUGCAUCUCAUGGAGGGUCUAUUUUCAGGCCUGAGACUCUCUUCCGGAUUACAUUAUCUCAAUAUACUUCCCUCAGAAGACUUUAAGAAGCAGACACCAUUUGGCAGUUUUUGUUCUUAGAAAUACUGUAUGUUUUUUCCAGUGCUCAUGAAGUUUAAGGUGCAGGUAUUUUUAUAAGGUUUUACAUUUUUUUGAAAAAAGGAACAAACCAAGAAACUGGUUUGCCAGUUGGGCCAAGAGGGGGCAACAGUGAGCUAACUCAGGGCUUGCUAUGUGACUUGGAAAAUCCUGUUACCACCAGGUGGCAUUUGUGACCUUGCUUUCCUUCUCCAUUUCUUCUCUCUAUCUUUUUUUUUUUUUUAGAUGGAGUCUCGCUCUGUCAUGUUAUCAGAGCUCAUUGCAACUUCUCAACUUCUACCUCCUGGGCUCAAGCAAUCCUCCUUCCUCAAUCUCCCAAGUAGCUUGGGACUACAGGCCCGCA